AUGAAGUUAGCGGCGGACGGGUGAGUAACACGUGGGUAACCUGCCCAUAAGACUGGGAUAACUCCGGGAAACCGGGGCUAAUACCGGAUAACAUUUUGAACCGCAUGGUUCGAAAUUGAAAGGCGGCUUCGGCUGUCACUUAUGGAUGGACCCGCGUCGCAUUAGCUAGUUGGUGAGGUAACGGCUCACCAAGGCAACGAUGCGUAGCCGACCUGAGAGGGUGAUCGGCCACACUGGGACUGAGACACGGCCCAGACUCCUACGGGAGGCAGCAGUAGGGAAUCUUCCGCAAUGGACGAAAGUCUGACGGAGCAACGCCGCGUGAGUGAUGAAGGCUUUCGGGUCGUAAAACUCUGUUGUUAGGGAAGAACAAGUGCUAGUUGAAUAAGCUGGCACCUUGACGGUACCUAACCAGAAAGCCACGGCUAACUACGUGCCAGCAGCCGCGGUAAUACGUAGGUGGCAAGCGUUAUCCGGAAUUAUUGGGCGUAAAGCGCGCGCAGGUGGUUUCUUAAGUCUGAUGUGAAAGCCCACGGCUCAACCGUGGAGGGUCAUUGGAAACUGGGAGACUUGAGUGCAGAAGA
rnacentral:rRNA from 1 species